rnacentral:rRNA from 1 species
UACGGGGGGGGCAAGCGUUGUCCGGAAUUACUGGGCGUAAAGAGCUCGUAGGCGGUGUGUCGCGUCGGCCGUGAAAACCUGCAGCUUAACUGUGGGCUUGCGGUCGAUACGGGCAUCACUGGAGUUCGGCAGGGGAGACUGGAAUUCCUGGUGUAGCGGUGGAAUGCGCAGAUAUCAGGAGGAACACCGAUGGCGAAGGCAGGUCACUGGGCCGCAACUGACGCUGAGGAGCGAAAGCAUGGGGAGCGAACAGG